GCGUAUCUGAUAAUUAGUCCGGCCGAUCGGUGAAAAAAUUGCUCAAAUAAUGAGGAAAGCACCAAUUUUUGCAUGAUGGUACAUUUUUGUGUACUGAGCAAUAUUAGCUAUGGACCCACCCUCAAAAUUCAAUAUGGCGGCUUAUUUCAAGAUGGCUGCCGUACGUUCUAAAAUAUUUUCCAGUAUUGCACAAACCACAGUGGAUUUGAUGCUGGGUGCACAAAAAUCAACAUAUUUGAAUGACUUGGUGUACUUAGCAAGAUUUUGUUUUGAUCUAUUUUUGAAAUACAAAAUGGCGGCUAUUUUCAAAAUGGCCGCCUUGAAAAAUAAGCAAAUAUUCAUUAUUGAGAAUUGACCUGAAUAUAAGCAUUUUAUUGAUGUAUAGUGUCAUUUGGUAUCUGUCCCAGUUCUGUCCUUUCUGAUUUUGCCUUGCUUGUCAUUUCAUACACAAAGUAGUAGCUUUCAUAAAAAGCUGCAGUAGUAGCUUUCAUUAAAAGCUGCACUAUUUGUUGUCUUGGGUCACAC
rnacentral:lncRNA from 1 species